AAUGAUGAGGCUGCGCUACAGAAGUUGGGUUCAGAUUUUGAUGCUUGCGACUAUAAGGUGAUUGGGGCAUCUGAUGAACAAAUUGACGUGUUUAAUGAAGUUUGGUAUAGCCUACUACUGAAUACGGGAAAAGCUGCCAAAGUGAUCGAGGUCAUUGAGAGACGAGUUGAAACAAGGGAUGGUGUACCCUUUUUAUGGCGUUUACUGGUAUGUGUUUUGAAUCUCAAUUUCUUGUAUUUUUAGCAACAAAUAAGUGGGAAAUACUCCUAGUAAACUUUUUAGCAACAAAUAAAUUUUUAGCAACAAGCUUUUUCACUUUCUGCAUAUAUAAAACUUCAGAAGUAUUAGUAGGAGUAUGUCUUUGAUCUCUUAAUGCUUGAACUGAUGCUAUGGUAUUAGAAUUCCUGCUAGUAUGAUUCUCCCAUCACUUGCACAUACAGUAUGAU